CGAGCACGCGCGUGUGGCAUAUCAAUAAGCGGAGGAAAAGAAACUAACAUAGGAUUCCCUCAGUAACGGCGAGUGAAGCGGGAAGAGCUCAAAUUUGAAAUCUUCAAGGUUCUACCUUGACGAAUUGUAGUUUAAAGAAGUGUUUUCUGUUGGAGUUUUGGUAAAAGUUCUUUGGAAUAGGACAUCAUAGAGGGUGAGAAUCCCGUAUUUGACCAUUAUUUCCAACUUUGUGAUACACUUUCAAAGAGUCGGAUUGUUUGGGAAUGCAGUCCAAAAUGGGUGGUAAAUUUCAUCUAAAGCUAAAUAUUGGCGAGAGACCGAUAGCGAACAAGUACCGUGAGGGAAAGAUGAAAAGAACUUUGAAAAGAGAGUUAAACAGUACGUGAAAUUGUCAAAAGGGAAGCGUUUGACACCAGUGUUGUUUAGUUGAAAAUCAAUUCAAUAAUUUUUGAUUUUGAGUAGUAUUGACUUCAUCAGCUUGCUGCUUUCUUUUCAGAAAUUAUUGAAUGCACUUUUCAGUUAACAAGUCAACAUCAAUUUCUUUUGUUGUAAAAGGGUAAGAGGAAGGUGGCUUACGCUUCGGCGUAAGUGUUUAUAGCCUUUUACCUCUGCAAUCGGAGAGAUUGAGGACAGCAGCGUAGACUCUUCGGGGUUAGAUACACUUGUGCUAAGCUAUAGCCUUGUAUAGACAACUUGUUGACUAUGCUCAGUCAUGUAGCUUACUCGCUUGUGCUAUUUUACCUACGCUUAGGAUGUUGAUGUGAUACUGCGAGCA
rnacentral:rRNA from 1 species